rnacentral:rRNA from 1 species
AGCUUGCUCCUUUGACGUUAGCGGCGGACGGGUGAGUAACACGUGGGUAACCUACCUAUAAGACUGGGAUAACUUCGGGAAACCGGAGCUAAUACCGGAUAACAUUUGGAACCGCAUGGUUCUAAAGUGAAAGAUGGUUUUGCUAUCACUUAUAGAUGGACCCGCGCCGUAUUAGCUAGUUGGUAAGGUAACGGCUUACCAAGGCAACGAUACGUAGCCGACCUGAGAGGGUGAUCGGCCACACUGGAACUGAGACACGGUCCAGACUCCUACGGGAGGCAGCAGUAGGGAAUCUUCCGCAAUGGGCGAAAGCCUGACGGAGCAACGCCGCGUGAGUGAUGAAGGGUUUCGGCUCGUAAAACUCUGUUAUUAGGGAAGAACAAACGUGUAAGUAACUAUGCACGUCUUGACGGUACCUAAUCAGAAAGCCACGGCUAACUACGUGCCAGCAGCCGCGGUAAUACGUAGGUGGCAAGCGUUAUCCGGAAUUAUUGGGCGUAAAGCGCGCGUAGGCGGUUUCUUAAGUCUGAUGUGAAAGCCCACGGCUCAACCGUGGAGGGUCAUUGGAAACUGGGAAACUUGAGUGCAGAAGAGGAAAGUGGAAUUCCAUGUGUAGCGGUGAAAUGCGCAGAGAUAUGGAGGAACACCAGUGGCGAAGGCGACUUUCUGGUCUGUAACUGACGCUGAUGUGCGAAAGCGUGGGGAUCAAACAGGAUUAGAUACCCUGGUAGUCCACGCCGUAAACGAUGAGUGCUAAGUGUUAGGGGGUUUCCGCCCCUUAGUGCUGCAGCUAACGCAUUAAGCACUCCGCCUGGGGAGUACGACCGCAAGGUUGAAACUCAAAGGAAUUGACGGGGACCCGCACAAGCGGUGGAGCAUGUGGUUUAAUUCGAAGCAACGCGAAGAACCUUACCAAAUCUUGACAUCCUUUGAAAACUCUAGAGAUAGAGCCUUCCCCUUCGGGGGACAAAGUGACAGGUGGUGCAUGGUUGUCGUCAGCUCGUGUCGUGAGAUGUUGGGUUAAGUCCCGCAACGAGCGCAACCCUUAAGCUUAGUUGCCAUCAUUAAGUUGGGCACUCUAGGUUGACUGCCGGUGACAAACCGGAGGAAGGUGGGGAUGACGUCAAAUCAUCAUGCCCCUUAUGAUUUGGGCUACACACGUGCUACAAUGGACAAUACAAAGGGCAGCUAAACCGCGAGGUCAUGCAAAUCCCAUAAAGUUGUUCUCAGUUCGGAUUGUAGUCUGCAACUCGACUACAUGAAGCUGGAAUCGCUAGUAAUCGUAGAUCAGCAUGCUACGGUGAAUACGUUCCCGGGUCUUGUACACACCGCCCGUCACACCACGAGAGUUUGUAACACCCGAAGCCGGUGGAGUA